rnacentral:rRNA from 1 species
UACGUAGGUGGCGAGCGUUGUCCGGAUUUACUGGGCGUAAAGAGCGCGCAGGCGGUCGUGCAAGUCGCGUGUGAAAGCCCCCGGCUCAACUGGGGAGGGUCACGCGAUACUGUUCGACUCGAAGGCAGGAGAGGGAAGUGGAAUUCCCGGUGUAGUGGUGAAAUGCGUAGAUAUCGGGAGGAACACCAGUGGCGAAGGCGACUUCCUGGCCUGUUCUUGACGCUGAGGCGCGAAAGCUAGGGUAGCAAACGGGA